AAAAAAUUUAAUUAAGGACCCACAAGACUAGGAUGAGUUCCAUAACAAUGGGCACCUGGAAUGAUUCUUCUGGAUGUUGUCCGCUGGAUGGAAAAGAGAACGUGUCUAUGCUCAUCACCCCAGCAAAAUAGGCUACAAGUUACAGUCCUAGGAGGGAAUUGAGGUGGGAAGCACCUUUAAAUUCCUCUGCCCUCAACCAAGUGGAAUACCAGAGGACCACAGAGCAGAACAAAAAGCCUAUUUCAAAGAGUCAUCCUGUCCCAUGCUAACGUCGGAUUCGAAGAAAUCUCGAGGAAAAGGUUGUCAUUAUUUCAAGGAUCUCAUAUUUCGCAAUAGCCACACACACAGUGACAGGUAUUCAAGAAAGAAUCAAAAGCUUUGGGAGAAAAGUCAACUCUUCGAACACUGGCCAGGACAGCUCCCUCAAAACAACAACAUCAAAAGCAGAAUCAUUGAGAAUUUUAUUUGCCCUUUGUGGAACCUUGCUAUAAGCAAAUUGGUUUAGAUUCUAACCUGCGUAAUUCAGUAGCAUAAACAACAGGAAUUCUGCAGAUGCUGGAAAUUCAAGCAAAUUCAGUAGCAUUGUUUGUUAAAUUACCUUUUGAUUGUAAUGGCUUACUAUGGCCGCAUAUCAAAGAACAUGAAAUGAAAUGUUUAAGCUGUA